UGAAAAAGAGAGAGGACGGUGCUUGCUCCUAGAAAAACACAAAGCCUUUGAGAGCUGGAGACCUGCACAGGAAAGCUGGACCUGGAACUGUAAAAUGAAAACUAAGGGAGGCAUUUUAUGUGUUAACCCAAUCUUCAAUCAAAGAACUACACGGCAAAAGCAUUACAAUCGACAGUGCAAUAUUCCUUCACAAUCCAAAUUGUUCAGGAAGCCUUUUGAUUCUUCAGAUCAUGGAAUAUGUUUAAAUCUACACGGGAAGAAAACACAGCACAAAACCGAUUCACUGGGUUUACCACCACAACAUGCAGCUGAGGAGUUUCAGGGAUUAUCAAUUCUUCCUGCGUCUGCGGAAGGUAAAGGGAUGGUUUAGUCAACCAAGAAGUGGCGGAAGCAAGGCCCUUCCUACAAAAAAGCAGCAAACUUCAAAUUACUAGAAAC